rnacentral:rRNA from 1 species
GACAGAGGUGCCGAGCGUUAGGCGGAAUCACUGGGCUUAAAGCGUGUGUAGGCGGAUCUGUAAGUACCUUGUGAAAUCCCACGGCUCAACCGUGGAACUGCUUGGUAUACUGCGGGUCUUGAGCCACCUAGGGGCAAGUGGAACAAACGGUGGAGCGGUGAAAUGCGUAGAUAUCGUUUGGAACGCCAAUGGUGAAAACAACCUGCUGGGGGUGUGCUGACGCUGAGACACGAAAGCCAGGGGAGCAAACGGG